CCCACUAAGCCGUCGAUGCAUCCAAAGCAUCAGAUAUCCCGAAUCAAAACCUAUUCUUUCACUAAAUCCUCUUCUCUCACAAAAUCAUCUCUUCUCUUUCACUUUAAACUUCCAAAAUCCUUCCUCUUACAACAGUCAAGGCAUCACUGACUCAAGUCUUCAUUUCCCCCAAAGAUUUCCUCAGUAUCAUAGUAGAAGUUGAUUCGGUUGUUUCGAGGCUGACGGCGAGUACUUCCCCAAACCAGGUGUUCUUCCAAAUUCCUAAAUCCAACACCAGUGUUUCGAGGCUGACGGCGACGGAUAUCUAUGGAUGAUGGUGAUAAAUGUGUUAGAGGAUCAUUUGGUUGUUCAUGGAUUUGUUGAUGGUUUUACCAAAUGGGUUUUCCACGGGGAAGGAUUUUCCUCGAGAAAUACACCUCAUCCAAGCAAUGAUGAUGAAGAUUCUACCAAGUGUGAUGAUAUUGAUGGACUACUACAUGAUACAUUUAGAAAUAUAGACGGUCAUGAUACCAGUAGAAGCUUCCUCUGCACAACAAGCUCAUGUUCAACUAAACAAUAGACCAUCUGCUGGUAGUAACAUUCAAGGUCAGUACGUACCAAAUUUUAUACAUCUUCUUCUAUUUCUUCUUCUUCUCCUCUUUCCUUGUGCUUCUUCUUCUACCACUUCUCUCUUUCUCUCUCUCGCAAAGUCUGAAUAGUCUAGUAAUUUUUUUACUUUGCCUAUGGCACUUAGUCGUUGCAUAAUUCUGUGGUUGCCUAGCUAGUGUCAUUACUAUGAUGCAUAUUCUUGUAUGUUACCUUACCGGCUCUUUGUUGUUGUAUAGUCGCUGCGUAAUUCUGCGCUAAUUGGUAAAGUUGUUGCAUGAGGAAGAAGAUAUUCUGGGUAAAAGUCUGAUUUAUUUAAGGAUUCUAUCUUAGUGGCUUUUACAUAUUUUAGCCUUUAGGGAGGAACAAAUUCUAAAGAUUCUAUCUUGGGCCUAUGUUGGAUUUGUUAUAGAAGCUAAAUAGAAAGUUGGGGUGGACUUAAAAAGUUGUCUGUAGUAUUGCCUGAACUAACUUCUAAAAGAAAUACUGUACUUAUUUAAUGUUUGGAAGCUUUGAGAAAAUGUUCAGCUUUUUUUUGGGUGACUGACUUUCAAAUGUUUGAGAGGAAAGACUUAGAACAUAGAGUUUGUUCUAAGUCCUUAUGUUUGUAUGGUGCCUACAGAAUAUUCAAACUUUCUUGCCUUUAUUUCAA